GGAAUCGAUGAAAUUUGCAGGUUAUUUAUAAAUAAAAAAAAGGGACAAUCACUAACAUGCUAGAGCAAAAUCAACAAUCCCCACGAGGAGGACCAUGACUUCUACAGGAUGUUCUAGUUAGAGUAAUUAUUCAAAGACUGUACAGAAAGUUUAAAAAAGAUGCCCAUCAUCCCUUUGGGCUUUGUUGGAUCAGACUUUGGCAGUAGAAAUUUUACAUAAAUGACAGGCACAACCCAAAGCUUCUAUACUUCUGAUUACAAUUGAUAAAAAAAAAGCUAUAUACUCGUCAAAAUUUCUCUAUGCCUAGAUAUUGCCACUUCAGAAAACCAUGGUUUUUCUCCUCAAUCAAGCAACUACAUGGAGAGAGAGGUGUCACUCAUGAGACUGUUCGUCCAUAACAAAUUGAUGCUAUGUAUAAAUUCUUUGCCCACUUCUCCUUGACAUGGGCACUGGGAAAAGCAGAAGUUCGAAGCGUCUCCUGCGUUUCAUCUGGCGGUUUCCUUCUUGGCACGCUAAGAACGAAAGCAGCCUGAUCCCAAGUUGCUGCAGUUGCUGUAAUACGAUAUGCAUGAUCCCACCGACGAUGUAUGCCUUCACUUGGAUAAAGGAAAUCAAGUUCAACAACCUGGUGUGCAAACCCUGCCCCACGAGACAUAACAACUCCCCAUCUACUCCCUGAGGUGGCCAUUGCAGUAACAUAGAAACCUUCCUUCCAUUUUUUGUUAAUCCAUUUAAAAGGAAAUGAAUCACUAACUUUAUAUGACUGCUGCAAAUAGAGAGUACCCUUAGACAUAACAACUAAUGAGCUUCCAUUAGCUGCUCCAGCUAAGGCACUGAUAUAAUAAUUCUUCUCCCAGUGCUCCAUUAUCCAUUCCUUGUGAAGAAAAUGUGGCGAUAGUUCAUAGACUUGUGCAGUGUAACCAGUACCAGCAUCCAUAAUCAAGGCCCAAAGAUUUUGACAUGAAGCUACGCUGCUAAUAAAUAAGCCAUCCUCAUUUCCUUUUUCAAUGUGCUGGGCAAGUCUUGCAUCAGCCACAUUAUAGUGAUACCGUUGCUUCAUAGGUCUACGAGCAUUGUACACACUAAUCCAUUGUGCUGCUGCCAUGCCCAGUCGAACCUUCUUCUUUGGUUGUCCAUCAUCUUCUUCUUCUUCUUCUUUUAACAAUAAAUCUCCUCACACGUUCCCAGUAAGAGCUUCAAUCUAAAAGAAAUUGAACAACUCUUGUUUCUGCAAUUAAAUUCAAGUGUAUGGACUACGAUACCACUCCCAUUUGUCAUUGACUUCUGAAUUGUCAUCCAUUGUCAACAGAAAUCAUCAAACUGGAAAAAUAUACCAAAUCUCCUAAUACUUGAGUUAGCUUACAAAGUUUUUCUGUUCUGUCAAGACACAAAACUUGAGACUUCACUCACACACAUGCUGCAAGUAGCUUUUAAGAGCCUAUGUGUUUCUUCAUCUAAAUCAACAUUAUCUUUCUUCAUACGCUCUGCAACUAUUAGGGGCAUUUUACCUGCGUUUUUAUAAGUUCGUAGAACAGAAUUAUAUAUCUCUGUACUCACAUGGCCAGCUUUCUGAAGCAUAACCAAAAAUUCCUCUGCUUCUUCAACAAUCCCUUUCUCCUCAAGAUUCUUAAAUACUUCUCUAACCAAAAUUUUGUCAGGAUUCCACUUCUUAACACUACUAAUAGCCUUCUUAAAAUAAUCUAAAACUUUAUCCAUCUGCUUUGAUUUCAAAUGACCCCAUGUUAGAAGUUCCCAAGUAGUGUAACAAGGACGGAAGCCGUUUUGCACCAUAUGAUGAUGAAAAUUUUCAGCUUCUUCCAUCUGGUUUCUAUUGAUAUAAGCUGCAAGGAGAAUGUUUGGGACCUGGGGAUCACUCCGUCCAGAAACUGACUCCCACUCAGAGUAAAGAUUCUGUGCUUCUUCAAUCUCCUCAAGUUUCACAAGGGAAGACAUCAUAGAGGUAUAUUCAGCAUCAUUCAUUUUGCGAAAGCAUGAUUUCAUUUUAUUCCAGAUCCGAUGUACCCCAUCCCUAUCUCCCAUGUUUGUAUGCAAACUGAGGAGGGAAGAAUAAGCGAGUCGAUUUUUCCUCGAAGCCCUUUUCUCCAUCUCUUUCAAAGUCGAUGCUGCAUUUUCAAUGAGUUGGUUUUUUAUAUAUAAGUUGGUUAAUGUGCUAUAUGUUAUCCAGUCUGGAUCAACUUUUGCUUUCUUCAACUCCACUAAGACUUUUUUCGCAGUUUCAACAUCAUUCUGUGAGGCACAUGCCCUCAGCCACAGAUUGUAAGUAACAACAUCUGGUGAAGUGUUUUUCUUCAACUCCUUUAUGACUUCAGGAACCUUCUCCAAUUGCCCAUUUGCAACGUACAGAGAUAGCAUAUGGUUGUAAGGAAGGGGAUUCUUCAAGAAACUACAUUCAGACAUCUUCUCCAUUAAAGCCUCAGCCUUUUCAAUCAACUUAUAGUUGACGUAAGUAUGAAGAAGAGCAGUACAGGUUUGCCAGCCUCUCAUUUCAUCUCGGAGAUCUUCAAAAAAUUUCUCUGCACUACUUAGACCACGAACCUUUGCAAUCAAGUCCAAGUGCACAGCAUAGUCACCUUGCAUGAGCUUGAUAUCUUGCUGUUGUGUCAUCCAUUCACAAACCUCGAGAGCGUGCUUGUACCGCUUGAGCUUUCGGAGCUCUCUAACAAUCCGAUUAAGCUGAUACUUCUGCACCUUGUGGCCCUCUGCUUUCCACUUCCCUAUUGCAAUUACGGCACUGCGUUUCGCAUAAACCAGGCUAAACAGUCUCCUACCCAGCGUGUCUCCCCCGCCACCUGUUCUUGCCGUUGCGCCGCCUCUCCCGACAGCCUUCUGCGCAGCCGCUUCAGCCGAGAAGUGGCGAGCGGCGGCCGCAACAGUUGCCCGAAAAUGAAUGAACCGGAGCAACAUUUCGCAACAUACGAGUCGAAUCUUCUUCGACUGUGGGUUUGGU
rnacentral:misc_RNA from 1 species